ACUCCUACGGGAGGCAGCAGUGGGGAAUAUUGCACAAUGGGGGAAACCCUGAUGCAGCCAUGCCGCGUGNGUGAAGAAGGCCUUCGGGUUGGUAAAUGCACUUUCAGUAGGGAGGAAGGUAGUGUAGUUAACACCUGCAUUCAUUUUGACGUUACCUACAGAAGAAGCACCGGCUAACUCCGUGCCGACCCGGCGGUAAUACGGAGGGUGCUGANACGUUAAUCGGAAUUACUGGGCGUAAAGCGCAUGCAGGCGGCCUGUUAAGUCAGAUGUGAAAGCCCGGGGCUUAACCUCGGAAUUGCAUUUGAAACUAGGCAGGCUAGAGUCUUGUAGAGGGGGGUAGAAUUUCAGGUGUAGCGGUGAAAUGCGUAGAGAUCU
rnacentral:rRNA from 1 species